UACGUAGGGGGCAAGCGUUAUCCGGAAUCAUUGGGCGUAAAGCGCGCGUAGGCGGGUUGGUAAGUCCGCUGUGAAAGCCCGGAGCUCAACUCCGGAGGGUCGGUGGAUACUGCCAGUCUUGAAGGUGCUAGGGGGAGAUGGAAUUACCGGUGUAGCGGUGAAAUGCGUAGAUAUCGGUAGGAACACCAGUGGCGAAGGCGGUCUCCUGGGGCAUUCUUGACGCUGAGGCGCGAAAGCUGGGGGAGCAAACGGG
rnacentral:rRNA from 1 species